AUACGGCCAUAUCACGUUGAAACACCGAUUCUCGUCCGAUCACCGAUGUUAAGCAACAUUGAGGCUGUUCAGUACCUAGCUAGGUGACCGCUUGAGAAUACCAGGUAUUGUAAG